CGGUGUUUAACUGGCGUGAUGUGGGACGUCCUACCGGUGGGCUUAGCCUCGCGAGGGGCGGCCCAACUAAUAUCCCGUCGCGGUGCUCUUUACUGAGUGUCGAGUCGGGCCGGUACGUUUACUUUGAACAAAUUAGAGUGCUUAAAGCAGGCUAUCCUCGCCUGAAUACUGCGUGCAUGGAAUAAUGGAAUAGGACCUCGGUUCUAUUUUGUUGGUUUUCGGAACCCCGAGGUAAUGAUUAAUAGGGACAGAUGGGGGCAUUCGUAUUGCGACGUUAGAGGUGAAAUUCUUGGAUCGUCGCAAGACGGACAGAAGCGAAAGCAUUUGCCAAAAAUGUUUUCAUUAAUCAAGAACGAAAGUUAGAGGUUCGAAGGCGAUCAGAUACCGCCCUAGUUCUAACCAUAAACGAUGCCCAGCUAGCGAUCCGCCGAAGUUCCUCCGAUGACUCGGCGGGCAGCUUCCGGGAAACCAAAGCUUUUGGGUUCCGGGGGAAGUAUGGUUGCAAAGCUGAAACUUAAAGGAAUUGACGGAAGGGCACCACCAGGAGUGGAGCCUGCGGCUUAAUUUGACUCAACACGGGAAACCUCACCAGGCCCAGACACCGGAAGGAUUGACAGAUUGAUAGCUCUUUCUUGAUUCGGUGGGUGGUGGUGCAUGGGCCGUUCUUAGUUGGUGGAGCGAUUUGUCUGGUUAAUUCCGAUAACGAACGAGACUCUAGCCUGCUAAAUAGGCGUACCUUAUGGUAUCGCGAAGGCCCCCGGCUUCGGCCGGUGGGUUUUUACUACCAACGUACAAACAAAUCUUCUUAGAGGGACAGGCGG
rnacentral:rRNA from 1 species